rnacentral:rRNA from 1 species
UACGAAGGGUGCAAGCGUUACUCGGAAUUACUGGGCGUAAAGGGUGCGUAGGUGGUUUUUUAAGCCUGCUGUGAAAUCCCCGGGCUCAACCUGGGAAUGGCAGUGGAUACUGGAAAGCUGGAGUGCGGUAGAGGGUAGUGGAAUUCCCGGUGUAGCAGUGAAAUGCGUAGAGAUCGGGAGGAACACCAGUGGCGAAGGCGGCUACCUGGACCAGCACUGACACUGAGGCACGAAAGCGUGGGGAGCAAACAGG